AACGAACGCUGGCGGCAGGCUUAACACAUGCAAGUCGAACGGGCGUAGCAAUACGUCAGUGGCAGACGGGUGAGUAACACGUGGGAACCUUCCUAGGGGUACGGAACAACUCAGGGAAACUUGAGCUAAUACCGUAUACGUCCGUGAGGAGAAAGAUUUAUCGCCCUUAGACGGGCCCGCGUCGGAUUAGCUAGUUGGUGGGGUAACGGCCUACCAAGGCGACGAUCCGUAGCUGAUCUUAGAGGAUGAUCAGCCACACUGGGACUGAGACACGGCCCAGACUCCUACGGGAGGCAGCAGUGGGGAAUCUUGGACAAUGGGCGCAAGCCUGAUCCAGCCAUGCCGCGUGAGUGAAGAAGGCCUUAGGGUUGUAAAGCUCUUUUGCCAGGGACGAUAAUGACGGUACCUGGAGAAUAAGCCCCGGCAAACUUCGUGCCAGCCGCCGCAGUAAGAC
rnacentral:rRNA from 1 species